AGAGUUUGAUCCUGGCUCAGGACAAACGCUGGCGGCGUGCCUAAGACAUGCAAGUCGAACGGGGGCCUUCGGGCUCGAGUGGCGGACGGGUGAGGAACGCGUGACUGACCUACCCUUGAGUGGGGGAUAACAGCCAGAAAUGGGUGCUAAGACCGCAUACGACGGUAUCGCGAGGUAUCGGGAAAGCCUGAGAGGGUGCUCGAGGAGGGGGUCGCGUCGGAUUAGCUAGUUGGUGGGGUAACGGCCUACCAAGGCGAUGAUCCGUAGCUGGUCUGAGAGGACGGCCAGCCACACUGGGACUGAGACACGGCCCAGACUCCUACGGGAGGCAGCAGUUAGGGAAUUUUGACAAUGGGCGCAAGCCUGAUCGAGUGACGCCGCGUGCGGGACGAAGCCUUUCGGGGUGUAAA
rnacentral:rRNA from 1 species